rnacentral:rRNA from 1 species
GAUGAACGCUGGCGGCGUGCCUAAUACAUGCAAGUCGAGCGAACGGACGAUAAGCUUGCUUUUCUGAUGUUAGCGGCGGACGGGUGAGUAACACGUGGAUAACCUACUUAUAAGACUGGGAUAACUUCGGGAAACCGGAGCUAAUACCGGAUAAUAUUUUGAACCGCAUGGUUCAAAAGUUAAAGACGGUCUUGCUGUCACUUAUAGCUGGAUCCGCGCUGGAUUAGCUAGUUGGUAAGGUAACGGCUUACCAAGGCAACGAUGCAUAGCCGACCUGAGAGGGUGAUCGGCCACACUGGAACUGAGACACGGUCCAGACUCCUACGGGAGGCAGCAGUAGGGAAUCUUCCGCAAUGGGCGAAAGCCUGACGGAGCAACGCCGCGUGAGUGAUGAAGGUCUUCGGAUCGUAAAACCCUGUUAUUAGGGAAGAACAUAUGUGUAAGUAACUGUGCACAUCUUGACGGUACCUAAUCAGAAAGCAACGGCUAACUACGUG